rnacentral:rRNA from 1 species
AAAGGGAAGCGAGCCUGCGAGGGGGAGGCAAAUCCCAGAAAUAACGUCCCAGUUCGGAUUGUAGUCUGCAACCCGACUACAUGAAGCUGGAAUCGCUAGUAAUCGCGGAUCAGCAAGCCGCGGUGAAUACGUUCCCGGGCCUUGUACACACCGCCCGUCACACCAUGAGAGUCGGGAACACCCGAAGUCCGUAGUCUAACCGCAAGGGGGGCGCGGCCGAAGGUGGGUCCGGUAAUUGGGGUGAAGUCGUAACAAGGUACC